AUGAAUAGUAAAUGGCAUUUCGACAUCCUGAAACACCACCACCGGAAAGAGAGGGAUUUGGCUGUUUGAGGGACUCAUUACAAAGACGAGAAGCAAUGAACAUUUACACAUUGGAAGAUGAGAGAUGCAACGGAGGAUGAACAUCCAGAGCUGCUUUUGAUGAUGCCCGGAUAUAUGAAAGCAACAUUCAGGUGAAGAACAGUUCGGGAGAAGUACCUUGAAAUAAUCUGAGGACAGUUUGGGGCUCCAUAGAGUGUCAAGACUAUGCUCUCUACGAGGAGAACUAACUCACAAAGCUUUGAGUGACGGUACAGAGAAAGAAAUCCGCACUGAAGACUCAAGAGACUUCGAAUGCAGGUCUUGAUUCCACCAAACAAUGUUUACAGAAACGUGCUGCUGCCAGAAGGUUGUCUGCCAGGAACCAUAGCUGCUGUGGAAUUGAUGAGUGUAAGGACCUCGUCAUACCCAAAAGAUAGUAUUUUACAGCAAUCACUCAUUCUCUGCAUAGUGACAGCUUGUGAGUCUCCGCCUUAGCCAGCCUGUGGGCAUGAAGAAUCUUCAUGAUGAGGGGCAAGAGUCACAUUACUCUGUAGGGAUUAGAGUAAGUAUUGGGCAGUUCGAUGCUUUACAUCUUAAACGAAAUACUAGUAAUAGGCUCUAUGAAUGUAGCAGCCAUGAAUUGUUGGCCAACUUUCCAGUUCCAAGCUUGAGUCUCCUCAAAUGGAGCAGGCCUCAUCUCUAAUUAGAAAGCUGUUGGUUGCCCGCUUCAUACUCAUGCACCAAUAGAUAUAUGUUUAUUUUCUUUCAUCAAAGUUAUUACUAUGUAGUCCUACGUGGACUGAAAUGAACUCGUAGACACAACUGGCCUCAAACUCAAAGUCACCUUCCUCUACCUCCCAAAUGUUGGGAUUAAAAGCAUGUGCCAUAAUGCUGAGCCCUAAUAAGCAUGUCUUGCCAAGGCAGCUCAUCAUUAUUAUGGUUUUCAUCAUUCACAGUUGGGUGGGGCUCUUAAUGGCUUUUCUCACUCAACAGCCUUCAUAGCAUCUUCUGGUUUUGUGUUUGAUAACAGGAAAUAAUUCUCUC